rnacentral:rRNA from 1 species
CCCUUAGAUGUUCUGGGCGGCCCGCGCACUACAAUGGCGUGUGCAGCGAGUGCCGAAGUAGAGUUUUCCGAGGUAUUCUUGCAAUGCUCGUUUUGAUGGGGAUAGACCCUUGCAACUGUUGGUUUUGAACGAGGAAUUCCUUGUAAGCAUGGUUUAUCAUCCGACGCUGAAUGCGUCCCUGCCCUUUGUACACACCGCCCGUCGCUCCUACCGAUUGAGUGGUCCGGUGAGGCUUUGGGAUCUGAGCGGAAAGAGCGUUUCGCUGUUUCUGCUCGGAAAACUCAGUCGAACCUUAUCAUUUAGAGGAAGGAGAAGUCGUAACA